CGCAAGCCUGACGGAGCAACGCCGCGUGAGGGAUGAAGGCCUCUGGGCUGUAAACCUCUUUUAUCAAGGAAGAAGAUCUGACGGUACUUGAUGAAUAAGCCACGGCUAAUUCCGUGCCAGCAGCCGCGGUAAUACGGGAGUGGCAAGCGUUAUCCGGAAUUAUUGGGCGUAAAGCGUCCGCAGGCGGUCUUGAAAGUCUGUCGUUAAAGCGUGGAGCUUAACUCCAUUUCGGCGGUGGAAACUACAAGGCUUGAGUGUGGUAGGGGCAGAGGGAAUUCCCGGUGUAGCGGUGAAAUGCGUAGAUAUCGGAAAGAACACCAGUGGCGAAGGCGCUCUGCUGGGCCAUAACUGACGCUCAUGGACGAAAGCCAGGGGAGCGAAAG
rnacentral:rRNA from 1 species